rnacentral:rRNA from 1 species
UCGACCGCCUGGGGAGUACGGCCGCAAGGUUAAAACUCAAAUGAAUUGACGGGGGCCCGCACAAGCGGUGGAGCAUGUGGUUUAAUUCGAUGCAACGCGAAGAACCUUACCUGGUCUUGACAUCCAGGUGCUGCAUGGCUGUCGUCAGCUCGUGUUGUGAAAUGUUGGGUUAAGUCCCGCAACGAGCGCAACCCUUAUCCUUUGUUGCAACUCAAAGGAGACUGCCAGUGAUAAACUGGAGGAAGGUGGGGAUGACGUCAAGUCAUCAUGGCCCUUACGACCAGGGCUACACACGUGCUACAAUGGCGCAUACAAAGAGAAGCGACCUCGCGAGAGCAAGCGGACCUCAUAAAGUGCGUCGUAGUCCGGAUUGGAGUCUGCAACUCGACUCCAUGAAGUCGGAAUCGCUAGUAAUCGUGGAUCAGAUGCCACGGUGAAUACGUUCCCGGGCCUUGUACACACCGCCCGUCACACCAUGGGAGUGGGUUGCAAAAGAAGUAGGUUACCACUUUGUGAUUCAUGACUGGGGUGAAGUCGUAACAAGGUAACCGA